UGGGGGAAUUUUGGACAAUGGGCGAAAGCCUGAUCCAGCAAUGCCGCGUGUGUGAAGAAGGCCUUCGGGUUGUAAAGCACUUUUGUCCGGAAAGAAAUCCUCUGGGUUAAUACCUCGGGGGGAUGACGGUACCGGAAGAAUAAGCACCGGCUAACUACGUGCCAGCAGCCGCGGUAAUACGUAGGGUGCAAGCGUUAAUCGGAAUUACUGGGCGUAAAGCGUGCGCAGGCGGUUUUGUAAGACGGAUGUGAAAUCCCCGGGCUUAACCUGGGAACUGCAUUCGUGACUGCAAGGCUAGAGUAUGGCAGAGGGGGGUAGAAUUCCACGUGUGGCAGUGAAAUGCGUAGAGAUGUGGAGGAAUACCGAUGGCGAAGGCAGCCCCCUGGGCCAAUACUGACGCUCAUGCACGAAAGCGUGGGGAGCAAACAGGAUUAGAUACCCUGGUAGUCCACGCCCUAAACGAUGUCAACUAGUUGUUGGGGAUUCAUUUCCUUAGUAACGUAGCUAACGCGUGAAGUUGACCGCCUGGGGAGUACGGUCGCAAGAUUAAAACUCAAAGGAAUUGACGGGGUCAUAGCUGUUUCCU
rnacentral:rRNA from 1 species